rnacentral:rRNA from 1 species
GUGAACAUACCUAUUGUUGCUUCGGCGGGAUUGCCCCGGGCGCCUCGUGUGCCCCGGAUCAGGCGCCCGCCUAGGAAACUCAACUCUUGUUUUAUUUUGGAAUCUUCUGAGUAGUUUUUACAAAUAAAUAAAAACUUUCAACAACGGAUCUCUUGGUUCUGGCAUCGAUGAAGAACGCAGCGAAAUGCGAUAAGUAAUGUGAAUUGCAAAAUUCAGUGAAUCAUCGAAUCUUUGAACGCACAUUGCGCCCGCCAGUAUUCUGGCGGGCAUGCCUGUCUGAGCGUCAUUUCAACCCUCAUGCCCCUAGGGCGUGGUGUUGGGGAUCGGCCAAAGCCCGCGAGGGACGGCCGGCCCCUAAAUCUAGUGGCGGACCCGUCGUGGCCUCCUCUGCGAAGUAGUGAUAUUCCGCAUCGGAGAGCGAUGAGCCCCUGCCGUUAAACCCCCAACUUUCCAAGGUUGACCUCAGAUCAGGUAGGAAUACCCGCUGAACUUAAGCAUAU